rnacentral:rRNA from 1 species
CGAAAGUAGGGAUCCAAACGAUCCGGUCCGUUGAGUCCAUUUUAGACUUAGCCGACUAGGGAUGGAUGGAGAUUCCAUUCAGUCCUAUGAGAGAUCAAAGUCCUUGGGUUCGGGGAGGUAUGUGCAAGGCUGAACCUGAGGGAAUGACCGAGGGCACCACCAGGAGUGGAGCCUGCGGCUUGAGUUGACUCAACCCGGAAACCUACCAGGUCCAGACAUAGUAAGGAAUAGACAGAAAUGAAUAGCUCUUCUUGAUUCUAUGGGUGGUGGUGCAUGCCCGUCUAGUUCUUUGGUGGAGUGAUUUGUCUGGUUGUCCGAUACGAACGAGACCUUAACUGCUAACUAGUCUUUCUAUCCGAUAGACAUUGACUUCUUAGAGGGACUAUGUGCUCUAAGCACAUGGAAGUUUGAGGCAAUAACAGGUCAGUAGAAACCAUUAUAUGUCCUGGGCUGCACGCGUGCUACACUGAUGCAUACAACAAGUCCCAAGCCAGUCAUGGCAUGGUAAUCUCUAAUAUGCAUCGUGAUGGGGAUUGAUCUUUGCAAUUAUAGAUCAUGAACGAGGAAUUCCUAGUAAGUGCAAGUCAUCAUCUUGCAUUGAUUAUGUUCUUUUUCCUUUGUACACACCGCGAGAGAGGCUCCUACCGAUACCGGGUGGUUCGGUGAACCUGUGGACCUCGCAAGAGGAAAGAUAAGUAAAUCAUAUCACCUACGAUACAGAAGUCGUAACAAGUAAUCGGACCCCGGGCCUUCAGCCAGAGGCCU